rnacentral:rRNA from 1 species
AUGCUUCUCGCGACCUUCGCGGCGAGCGUCACGUACGUCGCCGGGCUUAGCACGCCGGGCGGCUUCUGGGACAGCACGGGGGGCAGCCACCACCCGGGCGACCCGAUUCUCAGGGACCGCCACGACCUGCGCCUGACGGUGUUCUUAUUCUGCAACACCACGGCGUUCGUGGCGUCCCUGUUCAUCAGCACGCAGCUCAUCGCAGACAGGAAGCUCCACGAGGAACCGGAGUCAGGCCUGCCAGGCAAGUAUGCGCUCUACGCCUGCAUCAUCAUCGCGCUGAUCGGCCUGGUCGGCGCGUACAUAGCCGGAAGCUGCAGGGACACCCUCACCACCGUCUCCGUGAUCAUCACCCUGGUUGUCGCUUGCAUCCUACUUGCUGUGCUUUUGAAAUGUCGUUCCUCAAAAUGUGUCACCGGGACAGAGGGUUCAACCACUCAGGUUGGAGUGGCAGGGAUGGUCGCCGGCGCAGGAGAAGAGGCGGGGGCUAGAGGGAUGUCCGGGGAUACGAGCGGGCCAACGAAGGAGGUGGCUCUAACGGUCCGGCCAAAUUUGACUGCAAGUCAAAAAAGUUCCAUGCGACUCCAUUGUGGUAGGUCCCAUGAAAUAGGGGGAAAUCAGCAGACUGAUAAUGUCAGGGAAUGCGAUUCUAGGGAGGCUGUGGACAAGGCUCGUUCUCUUGUUCUACUGCUCGCCUCUCUUGCCGCCACCAUCACCUACGCAGCCGGAUUGGACCCGCCGGGUGGCCUGUGGCAGGAUAACGGCGACGGGCACAUGGCCGGCGACCCGAUCCUUCUCACGACGAACGCUAGGCGGUACAAGGCCUUCUACUACUGCAACUCGGCUGCCUUGGUGACCUCCUUGGUGGCCAUCAUCCUGGUCCAAAAUAAGCUUCUGCUCAAGCACCACGUGCUGGAGGUAGCCAUGAUACUCGUCCUGUUUGGCCUCAUGGGCGCGUAUGCCGCCGGGAGCUGCCGGGACGUGGACACCUCCAUUUACGCCAUGGCCUUGGCAGGCGUUGUCCUUAUCUAUGUGGUGAUCCAUGUCGUCAUUUUCACGCUGGACCAUAAGGACAAGCAAGGUGACGAAGAGCUGCUGGAGAAGAGGCGCAAGCGGUUGCUCCUCUUCGCGAUCUUGGCUGCGACCAUCACCUACCAAGCCGGCCUCACCCCUCCGGGCGGCUUCCUGCUCAAGGACGAUGAGUUCGGGCACCGCGUCGGUGAUCCGAUCCUCUUGCACAACUUCCCGCGCCGCUACAAGGCCUUCUUCUACUGCAACACGGUGAGCUUCAUGUUGUCCAUCGCCCUCAUCAUCCUCCUGGUGAACCCCAAUCUAUACAGGCCAGCCGUUCGAAGCAAUGCGUUAUCUGUUUGUGCGGCGGUGGGCUUGUUUGGUUUGCUGGCGGGCUACGCCGCGGGAAGCACUCAGCACAUCACGACCUCCAUCUACAUCUUCGCGUUGGUGGCCGUGGUCCUCGGCGUUGCCGUCAUUUUGCUGGCGGUUUUUUGGGGAACUGAACUGGAGAGAAAUGGCAAUUCGGCAGCCGAAGUUGAGAGAAAUGGCAUAUCCAUCGCACAGGAGGAAGAGCAAGCAAGUUCGGCAGCACCAUCGGAGCCACAGAGAAAUGGCGUAUCCAUCGACGUCGAAAAGGAAGAAAAGACGAUGCACGCGAAGCGCAAGUACCUGAUGCUGCUAGGCAUCUUGGUGGCGAGCGUGACCUACCAGGCCGGCCUGAAGCCGCCCGGCGGAGCGUGGCAGAGCAGCGGCAACAGGUACGAGGCGGGCAACCCGGUGAUGAACGACAACAGGACGCCCCAGUACCUAACCUUCUUCUACAGCAACUCCAUUUCCUUCGUGGCUUCCAUCCUUGUCAUCAUCAUGCUGCUAAGGCACUGGUGGGUUAUAAACAAGAAGCAUGAAAACAAGGAGGCUGAAAAGAUAAACAAGGAGAAUGAAAAGUGGUCGCUGAGGGUGAUGAAAAUCACUACCGUGGUGAAUUUUCUCGCUCUCCUGGUGGCCUAUGCAGUCGGCUUGUAUGUCGGCGUGUUCAGUGUUGGUUUGCAGGGCUACCUUGCCAUCAUUAUGUUCUGCUUGUCUUGUCAUUGUCAUCGCUAG